CACGGAGUGGGGAACUGCCGGCUCCGAACAGUCAUCUCUGCUUUAGAGGAUAGUUAGUGCUGAUAUCAGUAUUCACAGUCGACGGUCAUUGCUGAGGUCAAACGGAAUAAUUUAAAGAGGAAAAUUACGCAGUCAUUAGUUACAUAUUCGCAACCAUGAACAUUAAUUUCGAAGGGAAACGGGUACUCGUAACAGGCGCCGGACAAGGCAUUGGCAGGGACAUCGCUCUUCGUCUCUCUCAAUACAAAGCCCAAGUAAUAGCAUUGUCAAAGACGAAAAAGAACCUGGAGAAAUUGUGCGCAGAAGAUCCACGUAUUCAAAGCGUCUGUGUCGAUCUUCGCGACUGGGACGCUACCAAGAGAGCUGUACAAAGCGUCUUACCCAUCGAUCUCUUGGUGAACAAUGCCGGUGUCGCUCAUUUGAAGCCUUUCUUAGAUGCCACACCGGAAGAUUUCGAUUCAACUUUCGCUGUAAACGUGAAAGCUAUCAUGAAUGUUUCCCAGGUGGUCGCUAGAAACAUGAUCGAGAGGAAGGUUCCUGGUAGCAUCGUCAACAUAUCUUCUCAGGCUAGCCAGGCAGCUUUGAAAGACCACGCUGUCUAUUGCUCUUCCAAGGGAGCUGUUGACAUGUUGUCUAAAACGAUGGCCCUUGAACUUGGUCCGUACAAUAUUCGAGUGAACACGGUGAAUCCUACGGUGAUCAUGACAGAAAUGGGAAAACUAGGCUGGAGUGACCCAGACAAAGCACGAACCAUGUUAAGUAAAAUACCUCUGGGUCGGUUCGGCGAGGUAAGCGAAGUGGUGGAUGCAGUCGUGUAUCUGUUGAGCAAUCGCAGCUCUAUGAUCAAUGGAGUCACCUUACCUGUGGAUGGUGGAUUUUUAGCAAUGUAAUUCGUGAAAUAAGGGACAGUUUAAUAACAGAUGAACCAAAUAUCCAAGAUACCAUGGUAUAGAGAUAAACGAUUUUAUGUUUGUUUGUAUGCAACGCGUCCACGAUACUUUAUACAACACGAUAAUCAAGGGAAGAGAAGGAGAACGGGUUAACAGGAUGUGUCGAUCGUUUCGAUAUUACUUCAUGGACCUGAAAUUGGAACUGAUAUUGAUUAUUAAUAUCGAUCUCUUCUCAACGCUUUCGUUUUUUUUUUUUUUUUUUUUU